rnacentral:lncRNA from 1 species
CGCGCUAAAUAAUAUUAUUUUGAUUUACUUCUUUGUCUUUAUUUCAUAAUAAUAAACUUACCGUUACUUUAGAUAAUUAUAGGAUACGUCCUUGUGAACAUAGCUCAGCUGAUUUGAACAAUGCAUAAUAUAUGCAAGUUCCAUGGUUCGAACCCCGGCCACCAAAAAAAAAAAGAUAAUUAUUGGUUACAAUGAAAUACUUACAUUAAAUAAAUAAUAAAUUCAACAAAUUUUAGUAUAAUUUAAUACUAUCAAAAUUGAUUCAAUACAUAAACGACAUAUCCCCUAAAAAAAGUACAUAGAUGAUAUAUAUAAACAAUGUAACAUACAAUUUUUUCAAAUAGCGAAUAUGAAUUUUUAUUAUUAUUUUGAUACAGCUUAUAAGGCUUUCACUAAAGUAAUCCAUGGUCAUUUUUAACAUAAAAUCAGAGAAAAAUACUUUUAUGUCAAAAGUGUUUUACGAAAUGAUGACCUGAAUCAGAUAUUAUACACUUUGUGAAUCAGAAAUACUUUUAGCAUCAGCAUAGCAUUCAAAAAAGUGACGACAAUAAAAGCCUUGAAGUUAUACACUAGAAUCCAACUGACGCUAAAAUAGCAUCUACAAAUGUGGAUGCUAAAAUUGAUGCUAAAAGGUAUUUAAAGUGUUGACGCUACUUAGCGUUUGGAAUUUGUGGAUGCUAAAAAAUUACUUUUGAAAUCGAUUAUGAAUUAACCGAAAUAUCUAGGAUUUUUUUAAAAAAAAAAUUGUCUACUUCAACCACAAAUAUGCAUAACCAAAAUUUCCUAGAUAGCCAUAAUUUUAUACAAACACACAUACAACAUUCUUUUCUAGAGUCAUUAUUAUCUCUAAAGCCAUUCCAAGUGAUGGAAAAUAUUAUCUCGUAUCUGUUUUCUUUUGAACCAUGGCUACUAUUCUAACAUGCAUGAAUAUUUUUCUGCAACUAUAUUCUUUUGUAAUGUUUAAAGAUGUUUUGAUGAAUGAUGUAUUUGAAUUGAAGGAUUGGACUACUACCUACACCAUGGAUGCAAGCCACCUAUAAGAUAGUUGAUUUUGGGAUCUCUAAGAUGUUUAAGAAUACUGAUAAUGGAAAUGCAGAAUCCGCAAUGGUUCUUAUUGAUCCAGCGUUAGUCCUCAUCCAAAUGAUUAUUUUAC